AAUGAACGUUGGCGGCAUGGAUUAGGCAUGCAAGUCGCGCGGGCGUAGCAAUACGUCAGCGGCGCAAGGGACAGGAACACGUAGACUACCUGCCCUCGGGUCUGGGAUAGCCACGGGAAACUGUGGGUAAUACCAGAUGACAUCUCCGGAUCAAAGGUGUGAUUCCGCCCGAGGAUGGGUCUGCGUCCUAUUAGCUAGUUGGUGAGGUAAUGGCUCACCAAGGCGAUGAUGGGUAGCAGGUGUGAGAGCACGACCUGCGUCAUUGGGACUGAGACACUGCCCAGACACCUACGGGUGGCUGCAGUCGAGAAUUUUUGGCAAUGGGGGAAACCCUGACCAAGCGAUGCCGCGUGCGGGAUGAAGGCCUUCGGGUUGUAAACCGCUGUCAGUGGGGAGAAAAGGACCGGUGUACCCGGUUUUGAUCUAUCCGCAGAGGAAGUGUGGGCUAAGCUCGUGCCAGCAGCCGCCGUAAGAC
rnacentral:rRNA from 1 species